rnacentral:rRNA from 1 species
GACGAACGCUGGCGGCGUGCUUAACACAUGCAAGUCGAACGGAAAGGCCCUGCUUUUGUGGGGUGCUCGAGUGGCGAACGGGUGAGUAACACGUGAGUAACCUGCCCUUGACUUUGGGAUAACUUCAGGAAACUGGGGCUAAUACCGGAUAGGAGCUCCUGCUGCAUGGUGGGGGGUGGAAAGUUUCGGCGGUUGGGGAUGGACGCGCGGCUUAUCAGCUUGUUGGUGGGGUAGUGGCUUACCAAGGCUUUGGCGGGUAGCCGGCCUGAGAGGGUGACCGGCCACCUUGGGACUGAGAUACGGCCCAGACUCCUACGGGAGGCAGCAGUGGGGAAUAUUGCCCAAUGGGCGGAAGCCUGAUGCAGCAACGCCGCGUGCGGGAUGCCGGCCUUCGGGUUGUAAACCGCUUUCGCCUGUGACGAAGCGUGAGUGACGGUAAUGGGUAAAGAAGCACCGGCUAACUACGUG